rnacentral:rRNA from 1 species
CGAAAGCCUGACGGAGCAAGACCGCGUGGGGGAAGAAGGCUCUUGGGUUGUAAACCCCUUUUCUCUGGGAAGAAAGUUGUGAAAGCAACCUGACGGUACCAGAGGAAUCAGCAUCGGCUAACUCCGUGCCAGCAGCCGCGGUAAGACGGAGGAUGCAAGCGUUAUCCGGAAUGAUUGGGCGUAAAGCGUCCGCAGGUGGCAGUUCAAGUCUGCUGUCAAAGACCGGGGCUUAACUUCGGAAAGGCAGUGGAAACUGAACAGCUAGAGUAUGGUAGGGGCAGAGGGAAUUCCUGGUGUAGCGGUGAAAUGCGUAGAGAUCCGGAAGAACAUCGGUGGCGAAGGCGCUCUGCUGGACCAUAACUGACACUCAGGGACGAAAGCUAGGGGAGCG